AACGAACGCUGGCGGCAUGCCUAACACAUGCAAGUCGAACGGGACCUUCGGGUCUAGUGGCGCACGGGUGCGUAACGCGUGGGAAUCUACCCUUGGGUUCGGAAUAACAGUUAGAAAUGACUGCUAAUACCGGAUGAUGACGUAAGUCCAAAGAUUUAUCGCCCAAGGAUGAGCCCGCGUAAGAUUAGCUUGUUAGUGGGGUAAUGGCCUACCAAGGCGACGACCUUUAGCUGGUCUGAGAGGAUGAUCAGCCACACUGGGACUGAGACACGGCCCAGACUCCUACGGGAGGCAGCAGUGGGGAAUAUUGGACAAUGGGCGAAAGCCUGAUCCAGCAAUGCCGCGUGAGUGAUGAAGGCCUUAGGGUUGUAAAGCUCUUUUACCAGGGAUGAUAAUGACAGUACCUGGAGAAUAAGCUCCGGCUAACUCCGUGCCAGCCGCCGCGGUAA
rnacentral:rRNA from 1 species